CGAACCUACAGCCAGGUCUCAGCCUCGGCAUGAGGCUCGUCAGCCGACUUGAGUCAUCCCCAGGGACUUCUGAUACUAGUUUAGGCGGAAGCACCGCUAAAAGUACAAUGCACUUUGAAUAAGCGUUAGCUGUUUGCUAACUGGAUAACAAGUGAGUGCUGUGCUGAGAUCAGUCCCAGUCUUCAGAGUAAGGUAGAGUGCUCACUCGCUAUAGGCUCAUGUGUUUGUGUUGAGGCCUUGGGCAGGCUGCAAUGUGUGAGAGAUCCACUGUUUCCACUCUACUGUGAUGGAAGAAGAAAUGUGUCUCUUACCUGGAGUAGAUACAGAUGAUGAAGAGAGGGAGAGGCAGAUACAUGGGGAAGGAAAGAAGGAAGAAUUUGGUUAAGAGAGCAGCAACACGUCCCAGAGCACAUGGACAAAACAAACAUGAGAUCACACUUACCUGAGAAAGAAAAGAGACAUGGACAGAAAGUGUUGUGAGAGAGCAGAGAAGGCUGCCACACAGAGGCAGGUAGACCUAACCCUAAGUGUUGCACUACCACCCUGAUAGUUUUGCUAACAGUUUUAGUAAAUGCAAAUGCUUCCCACAAUUACAUUUCUUUGCCAUUGAUAAGAAAAUGGUGCUUAUGGCACAGCCAUUGAACCUACAAGUAAGCUAACUGAAGUAGCUUGUCCUAGUCUGCUAAACUUUUACACUCUAAACUUUUUUUAAACACUUUGCAAAACACAGUUCUCUUCAUUAGACAUAUGCAAAUGUCACAUCACAACCCUCAGUCCUCAUGGGUGCAAAUACUUAUGGCCAUUUUGUUGAGCUAGUAUAAAUUAAGUUAAAGUUGACUGGUUUAGCAGACUUUGAAAUCCAAAGCAACACAGACUGGCCCAGGCACACUGAUUGUCAUAUGAUGACAUUACUGCUGCUCCACCAUGCCCACAAAAUGAAUAAGCCACAGGUUAGAUACUGGACAACAAUGGAGACCCAUAGUGGAGAGAAAGGAAAAAUAACCCUCACCAAUGGGAUCUGGGCCACUGUAGCAAGUAUGAUCCAGACAUUUUGAAAUGAGAAAAGGUAAAUGGACCCAUCUUUUCUGUACCAUGCUACUAAAACACAGUGCUGCACGGUGUA